rnacentral:lncRNA from 1 species
AUGAUGACUUCAUAGUAAUGUGGAGUGAAAAGUUAUUUUAUAGUAAUUUCUGUAAAGGCUAUCGUAGCAUAUUUAGGUGCUGCAAGAAUCCACUUGGAAUUGCUCUGCUUAUCAGGGUUUCCAUGCUUCUUGAAAGUACUUGAGUAUCAGACAUAUGGAGUCAGUGUCUGGAAAGUACUUAAAAACAAACAAAGGUCCUUGACGGUGCUUAAGUAAAAUUUCAAACCAAAUUUGUUUAUAGUGUUAUUUCAACUUUUGUACUGUGCUGCUGUCAAAAACAGAAUAAAAGUCGGCGCCAAUAGCCUAGUGGUUAGUGCAUCACAUAGCACCGAAGUGCUUGCAUCGACCCGAGUUCGAUUCCCGUCUCGAGCCCCUAAAAAAACCCC